rnacentral:rRNA from 1 species
UGGGGAAUAUUGUACAAUGGGCGCAAGCCUGAUCCAGCCAUACCGCGUGGGUGAAGAAGGCCUUCGGGUUGUAAAGCCCUUUUGUUGGGAAAGAAAUCCUAUCGGUUAAUAACCGUUGGUGAUGACGGUACUCAAAGAAUAAGCACCGGCUAACUUCGUGCCAGCAUCCGUGGUAAUACGAAGGGUUCAAGCGUUACUCGGAAUUACUGUGCGUAAAGCGUGCGUAGGUGGUGGUUUAAGUCUGCUGUGAAGGCCCUGGGCUAAACCUGGAACUUGCAGUGGAUACUGGAUCACUAGAGUAUGGUAGAGGACUGCGGAAUUGAUGGUGUAGCAGUGAAAUGCGUAGAGAUCAGAAGGAAAAUCCGUGGCGAAGGCAGCAUCCUGGGCCAACACUGACACUGAGGCACGAAAGCGUGGGGAGCAAA